UGGAGGCAGCAGUGGGGAAUUUUGGACAAUGGGCGCAAGCCUGAUCCAGCCAUACCGCGUGAGUGAAGAAGGCCUUCGGGUUGUAAAGCUCUUUCAGCCGGAAAGAAAUCGUGCAACCUAAUACGUUGUAUGGAUGACGGUACCGGAAGAAGAAGCACCGGCUAACUACGUGCCAGCAGCCGCGGUGAUACGUAGGGUGCGAGCGUUAAUCGGAAUUACUGGGCGUAAAGCGUGCGCAGGCGGUUUUGUAAGACAGGCGUGAAAUCCCCGGGCUUAACCUGGGAACUGCGUUUGUGACUGCAAGGCUAGAGUGUAGCAGAGGGGGGUAGAAUUCCAUCUGUAGCAGUGAAAUGCGUAGAUAUGUGGAGGAAUACCGAUGGCGAAGGCAGCCCCCUGGGCUAACACUGACGCUCAUGCACGAAAGCGUGGGGAGCAAACAGGAUUAGAAACCCCAGUAGUCCG
rnacentral:rRNA from 1 species